rnacentral:rRNA from 1 species
UACGGAGGGUGCAAGCGUUAAUCGGAAUUACUGGGCGUAAAGCGCGCGUAGGCGGUUUUUUAAGUCGGAUGUGAAAGCCCCGGGCUCAACCUGGGAACUGCAUCNGAUACUGGAAGACUAGAAUGCGGGAGAGGGAGGUAGAAUUCCAUGUGUAGCAGUGAANUGCGUAGAUAUAUGGAGGAAUACCAGUGGCGAAGGCGGCCUCCUGGCUCGACAUUGACGCUGAGGUGCGAAAGCGUGGGGAGCAAACUGC